GUUACAUAGUUACAUAGCUGAAAAGAGACUUGCGUCCAUCAAGUUCAGCCUACCUCACAUUUGUUUUUUGCUGUUGAUCCAAAAGAAGGCAAAAAAACCCAGUUUGAAGCACAAUUUUGCAACAAGCUAGGAAAAAAAUUCCUUCUUGACCCCAGAAUGGCAGUCAGAUUUAUCCUUGGAUCAAGCAGUUAUUACCCUACAUUGAAAAAUUAUAUCCUUGAAUAUUCUGUUCUUGCAAGUAUGCAUCUAGUAGCCGUUUGAACAUCUGUAUGGACUCUGAUAAAACCACUUCUUCAGGCAGAGAAUUCCAC